UACGUAGGGGGCGAGCGUUGUCCGAAGUUACUGGGCGUAAAGCGCGCGUAGGCGGGUUGGCAAGUCUGCUGUGAAAGCCCGGAGCUUAACUCCGGAGGGUCGGUGGAUACUGCCAAUCUUGAAGGGACUAGGGGGAGAUGGAAUUACCGGUGUAGCGGUGAAAUGCGUAGAGAUCGGUAGGAACACCAGUGGCGAAGGCGGCUUCCUGGCCUGUUCUUGACGCUGAGGCGCGAAGGCUAGGGGAGCAAACGGG
rnacentral:rRNA from 1 species